GCACAAUUUAAAAAAGCUUUGCUACACCGGGCACGGCUAGGUGCGAAUAAAUCUAGCAUUUCAUUCUAAAGUCUUUCUCCGCCAUACGAGUAUGCGGUUAGCAAAUGCUAAUUCCGAGGAAUGCCAAGUCUAGAAACAUAGUCGGCAUGACCGUUGUUUUGUUGCAAAACUGAAAAUGUAUUAGACUAUGAUCCAGGAUUGAAACGUACAAAAUACUAAAUAACUAUUAAAUGUCCCAACUUUGAAAGCAUGUUUCUGAGAAGGAGCAAUCAUAGAUUUAGGGGACAUGAUAUGAAGCUACAUGUCAAUUAUCAUUGUCAAAUCCAUUAAAACACUUUCUGACCCACAGAGUUGUUCAGAGUAUUAUAU